UCUUCCCACUCCUCCUACCCCCUCCUCUACUUUCCUUCCCCCUUCCCCCCUCCUUCCCCCUCCUCCUCUCCCUCUUCCCCCCUCCUCCCAUUCCUAGUCUCCCUCCUGGCUCCUCCCUUUCCUUCCUUCUACUCCCCCUUCUCCUUCCAGCCCUCCCCUCCUCCCUUCCAGCCUCCUCUCCCUCCCCCAUCCACUCUUCCUUCUUCCUUCUCCCUGCUCCCCUCUCCUCUGCUUCCUCCGUUUCUCCUUCCCCCUCCUCCCCUCCCCUCGGUGCUAACAGCUGUAAUUGCUGUUUCUCCCACCUCCCUAACAAGCACGGGACCCUCCGAGCAGAGCCGCCCGCAGUUCCGCUCAGUAAUCGCCUCCAUGGCAGAUCCAAGGCUCUUACCCCCCAGAGAGGGCGCCUCUCAUUCCCUGGAGAAAAACCAAAGAACCACCCGCCCCCAGCUCUCAGAGGGGAAUAGAAGAUGGAGGUAGGUGCGUGUCCAGCCAGCUCUGCAUCUCCAGGGGUGGCGUACCCGGUUCACAAGUGGGAGCCCCGACUCCUGAGGGCUACUGGGUGAUCUCCAUGCGGCUGCUGGGCAGGGCAGGUGACCUCUGACCCCAGCCCGCCCAGUCCAUCCGCCAAGGGUGCCUCAUUCCCAAAGCGCCUGCGUGGUGUCCGGGGCUUCUCCCCUUUGGGGUUGAGGGUGGGUUCCAGACUCAAAUCCCAGCCCCGCCUUCAUUUCCCACAUCAGGGACCCUUCUGGAG
rnacentral:lncRNA from 10 species